CGCGGGAAUAGCUCAGUUGGUAGAGCACGACCUUGCCAAGGUCGGGGUCGCGAGUUCGAGUCUCGUUUCCCCGC
rnacentral:tRNA from 1 species